rnacentral:misc_RNA from 1 species
CAACCCUCAAGCACUGCUUGGUGAUGGGGCACUGUAUGUAUAGGCCCUGAAAUAUAGUGGCGGGCCCGCUAUGGUCUCGAGCGUAGUACAACACCUCGCUUAGGGUAUCAUGGCGGCCUCUGCCGUUAAACCCCCACUUAUAA